UCAAGCGAACAAGUGCAUGUGGUGGAUGCCUUGGCGAUCACAGGCGAUGAAGGACGCGGUAGCCUGCGAAAAGCUUCGGGGAGCUGGCAAACAAGCUUUGAUCCGGAGAUGUCCGAAUGGGGAAACCCGGCCCGAAUGGGUCAUCCCACACUGAAUCCAUAGGUGUGGGAAGCGAACGCGGCGAACUGAAACAUCUAAGUAGCUGCAGGAACAGAAAUCAACCGAGAUUCCCAAAGUAGUGGCGAACGAAAUGGGAUGAGCCUUGUACUCUUUAGCAGUGGUGUUAGCAGAACGGGAUGGAAAGCCCGGCCCUAGCAGGUGAUAGCCCUGUAUGCGAAAACAGCGUUGUGGAACUAGGUGUACGACAAGUAGGGCGGGACACGUGAAAUCCUGUCUGAAGAUGGGGGGACCAUCCUCCAAGGCUAAAUACUCGUGAUCGACCGAUAGUGAACCAGUACCGUGAGGGAAAGGCGAAAAGAACCCCGGGAGGGGAGUGAAAUAGAUCCUGAAACCGCAUGCAUACAAACAGUCGGAGCCUCUUCGGGGGUGACGGCGUACCUUUUGUAUAAUGGGUCAGCGACUUACAUUCAGUGGCAAGCUUAACCGAUUAGGGAAGGCGUAGCGAAAGCGAGUCCGAACAGGGCGUUGAGUCGCUGGGUGUAGACCCGAAACCAGAUGAUCUAUCCAUGGCCAGGUUGAAGGUGCGGUAACACGUACUGGAGGACCGAACCCACUAACGUUGAAAAGUUAGGGGAUGAGCUGUGGAUAGGGGUGAAAGGCUAAACAAAUCUGGAAAUAGCUGGUUCUCUCCGAAAACUAUUUAGGUAGUGCCUCGUGUCUCACCUUCGGGGGUAGAGCACUGUCAUGGUUGGGGGGUCUAUUGCUGAUUACCCCGCCAUAGCAAACUCCGAAUACCGAAGAGUGCAAUCACGGGAGACAGACAUCGGGUGCUAACGUCCGGUGUCAAGAGGGAAACAACCCAGACCGCCAGCUAAGGUCCCCAAAUAUAGCUAAGUGGGAAACGAAGUGGGAAGGCUAAAACAGUCAGGAGGUUGGCUUAGAAGCAGCCACCCUUUAAAGAAAGCGUAAUAGCUCACUGAUCGAGUCGUCCUGCGCGGAAGAUGUAACGGGGCUAAGCUAUAUACCGAAGCUGCGGACGCACGCAAGUGCGUGGUAGGAGAGCGUUCUGUAAGCCUGUGAAGGUGUCUUGUAAAGGAUGCUGGAGGUAUCAGAAGUGCGAAUGCUGACAUGAGUAGCGAUAAAGGGGGUGAAAGGCCCCCUCGCCGUAAGCCCAAGGUUUCCUACGCAACGUUCAUCGGCGUAGGGUGAGUCGGCCCCUAAGGCGAGGCAGAGAUGCGUAGCUGAUGGGAAGCAGGUUAAUAUUCCUGCACCGUCGUAUGAUGCGAUGGGGGGACGGAUCGCGGAAGGUUGUCCGGGUGUUGGAAGUCCCGGUCCCUGCAUUGGAGAAGGCGCUCAGGCAAAUCCGGGCGCGGGAUUCAAGGAUGUGGGGCGAGCGGCCUAGUGCUGCGAAGCAAUUGGAAGUGGUUCCAAGAAAAGCCUCUAAGCUUCAGUCAUACGAGACCGUACCGCAAACCGACACAGGUGGGCGAGAUGAGUAUUCUAAGGCGCUUGAGAGAACUCGGGAGAAGGAACUCGGCAAAUUGGUACCGUAACUUCGGGAUAAGGUACGCCCUGGUAGCUUGACUGGCCUGCGCCAGAAGGGUGAAGGGGUUGCAAUAAAAUGGUGGCUGCGACUGUUUAAUAAAAACACAGCACUCUGCAAACACGAAAGUGGACGUAUAGGGUGUGACGCCUGCCCGGUGCCGGAAGAUUAAAUGAUGGGGUGCAAGCUCUUGAUUGAAGUCCCGGUAAACGGCGGCCNGCGUGGUAGGAGAGCGUUCUGUAAGCCUGUGAAGGUGUCUUGUAAAGGAUGCUGGAGGUAUCAGAAGUGCGAAUGCUGACAUGAGUAGCGAUAAAGGGGGUGAAAGGCCCCCUCGCCGUAAGCCCAAGGUUUCCUACGCAACGUUCAUCGGCGUAGGGUGAGUCGGCCCCUAAGGCGAGGCAGAGAUGCGUAGCUGAUGGGAAGCAGGUUAAUAUUCCUGCACCGUCGUAUGAUGCGAUGGGGGGACGGAUCGCGGAAGGUUGUCCGGGUGUUGGAAGUCCCGGUCCCUGCAUUGGAGAAGGCGCUCAGGCAAAUCCGGGCGCGGGAUUCAAGGAUGUGGGGCGAGCGGCCUAGUGCUGCGAAGCAAUUGGAAGUGGUUCCAAGAAAAGCCUCUAAGCUUCAGUCAUACGAGACCGUACCGCAAACCGACACAGGUGGGCGAGAUGAGUAUUCUAAGGCGCUUGAGAGAACUCGGGAGAAGGAACUCGGCAAAUUGGUACCGUAACUUCGGGAUAAGGUACGCCCUGGUAGCUUGACUGGCCUGCGCCAGAAGGGUGAAGGGGUUGCAAUAAAAUGGUGGCUGCGACUGUUUAAUAAAAACACAGCACUCUGCAAACACGAAAGUGGACGUAUAGGGUGUGACGCCUGCCCGGUGCCGGAAGAUUAAAUGAUGGGGUGCAAGCUCUUGAUUGAAGUCCCGGUAAACGGCGGCCGUAACUAUAACGGUCCUAAGGUAGCGAAAUUCCUUGUCGGGUAAGUUCCGACCUGCACGAAUGGCGUAACGAUGGCCACACUGUCUCCUCCCGAGACUCAGCGAAGUUGAAGUGUUUGUGAUGAUGCAAUCUCCCCGCGGCUAGACGGAAAGACCCCAUGAACCUUUACUGUAGCUUUGCAUUGGACUUUGAACCGAUCUGUGUAGGAUAGGUGGGAGGCUUUGAAGCGUGGACGCUAGUUCACGUGGAGCCGUCCUUGAAAUACCACCCUGGUUUGUUUGAGGUUCUAACCUUGGCCCGUGAAUCCGGGUCGGGGACAGUGCAUGGUAGGCAGUUUGACUGGGGCGGUCUCCUCCCAAAGUGUAACGGAGGAGUUCGAAGGUACGCUUGGUACGGUCGGACAUCGUACCUAAAGUGCAAUGGCAAAAGCGUGCUUAACUGCGAGACCGACAAGUCGAGCAGGUGCGAAAGCAGGACAUAGUGAUCCGGUGGUUCUGAAUGGAAGGGCCAUCGCUCAACGGAUAAAAGGUACUCUGGGGAUAACAGGCUGAUACCGCCCAAGAGUUCAUAUCGACGGCGGUGUUUGGCACCUCGAUGUCGGCUCAUCUCAUCCUGGGGCUGUAGCCGGUCCCAAGGGUAUGGCUGUUCGCCAUUUAAAGAGGUACGUGAGCUGGGUUUAAAACGUCGUGAGACAGUUUGGUCCCUAUCUGCCGUGGGCGUUGGAAUCUUGACGGGGGCUGCUCCUAGUACGAGAGGACCGGAGUGGACGUACCGCUGGUGUACCUGUUGUCUCGCCAGAGGCAUCGCAGGGUAGCUAUGUACGGAAGAGAUAACCGCUGAAAGCAUCUAAGCGGGAAACUCGCCUGAAGAUGAGGAUUCCCUGGAGGCUUGACCUCCUUGAAGGGUCGUUCGAGACCAGGACGUUGAUAGGCUGGGUGUGGAAGCGCAGUAAUGCGUUAAGCUAACCAGUACUAAUUGCCCGUAAGGCUUGAUCCU
rnacentral:rRNA from 1 species